rnacentral:rRNA from 1 species
GGAAAGACCCCGUGCACCUUUACUGCAGCUUUGCGCUGGCAUUCGUGUCGGCAUGUGUAGGAUAGGUGGUAGACUUUGAAGCCGGGGCGCCAGCUCUGGUGGAGUCAUCCUUGAAAUACCACCCUUAUCGUCAUGGAUGUCUAACCGCGACCCGUCAUCCGGGUCCGAGACAGCGCAUGGCAGGCAGUUUGACUGGGGCGGUCGCCUC